GAGUUUUCCCUUCAGUUGAGGCAGGACUAGUGACACGGCUUUAGCCGCACCUGUGCUUGUUGGCACUAUGUUCAGUGCUGCGGCCCUCGCUCUCCUCAGGUCCCGGUGCGAAGCAUCCAACAGCCUCUGCACGGUUACAAUGCCAAACCGGUUUAAGCUAGAUUUCGGUAUUUCUGGCCAAAAAAGGUGUCACCUUGAAGAUAUAUACUACAAACAAUUGAGUGUACUUUGCAGUGGUUACCAUCCUAAAGAUUCGAUCUUUCUGAUCAAGGGUAUCGUUGAUAUUUACAUCCUCAUAUCAUCAUUAGACCUAUCUCUUUGGAUUACAAGGUACUUCGACAAAAGGAAACAAAGUGACGUAGCAAAAUCUUUUGUGUCGUUCAAAUGAGACCAACCAAUCGAAUUACAUAACUUGUGAAACCAUGAGUCCAUGACAAAAUAUUAAGUAACAAGUUAUAAGUAACUUGGGCACAAAGUUAAGUAAGUUACUAUAACGAUCGACUUAAUACCUGAUCUCCGGUGUAGGAGUGAGUGGUAGUCAUGGUUCCCUUGACAAUGCCUGCAAAAUUAAUCAAUCACUACUGAUUAGUACCUGAAACUAACGCUUUCCUAUCAGUCUUUCUUGGUUAAGAGGUCGUUUAGAUGAGUUAUUUUGAUGAAAAUAACUCGCUUGACAUCUAACACAAAAUAUGUGGCAUUUCGAACCGUAGUAUAUUAUUUCAAAUAACUCACUUACGAGUUAUUUCAGAUAUCUAGUCUAAAUAACUCGGUUGACAUUCAAAACAAAAUUUGUGGCAUUUGAAAUAACCGAUUUUCCAGUUAUCAAAUUAGUCAAACAAGAUAAUUCCCACACACAAACCAUUUGCACCUUAUAAAUCCUACAUUCUCAACUUCUACAUCAAUGUGCUCCAAAAUACCACACAUCCAAACAACCCAUAAGAACAAAUGCUAGCUUCAGUUGGGAGUCGGCUUACCGAAUUCCUCGUCGAUGACUUUGACGAAAGGAGCCAGACAGUUUGUUGUGCAAGAAGCAUUGCUGGGAAGCAUCAAUGUGGAAAAAUUAGCCAGGCAUCAUAUUUCAAGCAUAAAUGUUGCUGAAUGGGGGAGAAAGCUCCAUUUGAAAGAUGAGAUAAAAACCCAACCUGACAAUAUCGGCAACAUCAUGGCCGUAAUCCUUUUCAUUAACACCAAGGACAUAGGUCGGAAUGUCAGCACCUUUAGCAGGAGCAGUGAUGAUAACCUUCUUCGCACCGGCUUGAAUGUGUUUUCCAGCGCCCGGUCCAUCCACGAAGACUCCCGUUCCCUCAAUGACAAUGUCGAUUCCAAGCUCGGCCCAUGGAAGCUUAAGGGGAUCCCUGCUGGAGACAACUUUGAUGAGCUUCCCAUCAACGCUGAU
rnacentral:lncRNA from 1 species